UAAGCGAAUAGUGAAUCUGGUGGCUCAACCAUACAAGCUAAUUAGUUCGAACUGGCUAACUCGAGAAUGGUAGAGGUAACUGGAAUUUCUUGUGUAGGAGUGAAAUCCGUAGAUAUAAGAAGGAACACCAAUGGCGUAGGCAGGUUACUGGACCAUUUCUGACGCUAAGGCACGAAAGCGUGGGGAGCGAACCGGAUUAGAUACCCGGGUAGUCCACGCUGUAAACCGAUGGAUACUG
rnacentral:rRNA from 1 species